UACGAAGGGGGCUAGCGUUGCUCGGAAUUACUGGGCGUAAAGGGCGCGUAGGCGGACAGUUUAGUCAGAGGUGAAAGCCCAGGGCUCAACCUUGGAAUUGCCUUUGAUACUGGCUGUCUUGAGUUCGGGAGAGGUGAGUGGAAUGCCGAGUGUAGAGGUGAAAUUCGUAGAUAUUCGGCGGAACACCAGUGGCGAAGGCGACUCACUGGCCCGAUACUUACGCUGAGGCGCGAAAGCGUGGGGAGCAAACAGG
rnacentral:rRNA from 1 species